rnacentral:rRNA from 1 species
UGAGGAAUAUUGGUCAAUGGGCGAGAGCCUGAACCAGCCAAGUAGCGUGCAGGAUGACGGCCCUAUGGGUUGUAAACUGCUUUUAUGUGGGGAUAAAGUGCGUGACGUGUCAUGCAUUGCAGGUACCACAUGAAUAAGGACCGGCUAAUUCCGUGCCAGCAGCCGCGGUAAUACGGAAGGUCCGGGCGUUAUCCGGAUUUAUUGGGUUUAAAGGGAGCGUAGGCUGUCUAUGAAGCGUGUUGUGAAAUUUACCGGCUCAACCGGUGGCUUGCAGCGCGAACUGGUCGACUUGAGUAUGCAGGAAGUAGGCGGAAUUCAUGGUGUAGCGGUGAAAUGCUUAGAUAUCAUGACGAACUCCGAUUGCGCAGGCAGCUUACUGUAGCAUAACUGACGCUGAUGCUCGAAAGUGCGGGUAUCAAACAGG